AAAUAAUGAAUCUACAGUAUAAGAAAUCCUAUUUUAAAAGAGAAUUAGAUAGCACCAUUGGACUCUGAUGCUAUCAAGCCUAGGAGACUACUGGAUUAUCCAUUCCUUACAUCAUUAGUUAUAACACCACUUUUUUAACUUGCAAAGUAUGUGUACUACAUGGUACAUUGUAUGUGGGGACUUUAUAUAUGGUAAUCAUUUGCCAAUUUUUCCAAUGAUAAUUAUUUUUCUACGACAGUAUCCCAUUUAGUGGCCAGUAUAAAUGUGAAAAUUUAUUCAUAUUUUAUUACUUUCUAGUAGUUCUAGAC
rnacentral:lncRNA from 1 species